rnacentral:rRNA from 1 species
GAUUCUGGCUCAGGAUGAACGCUAGCGAUAGGCUUAACACAUGCAAGUCGAGGGGCAGCACGGUGUAGCAAUACACUGGUGGCGACCGGCGUACGGGUGCGUAACACGUAUGCAACCUACCCGCUAUUGGGGGAUAACCCGGCGAAAGUCGGACUAAUACCCCAUAUUAUUCUUACCGGGCAUCCGGUAGGUCUGAAAGAUUUAUCGAUUGCGGAUGGGCAUGCGGAUGAUUAGCUAGUAGGUGGGGUAACGGCUCACCUAGGCGACGAUCAUUAGGGGUUCUGAGAGGAAGGUCCCCCACACUGGAACUGAGACACGGUCCAGACUCCUACGGGAGGCAGCAGUGAGGAAUAUUGGUCAAUGGGCGCUAGCCUGAACCAGCCAAGUCGCGUGAAGGAUGAACCAGAUCUAUGGUUUGUAAACUUCUUUUGCAGGGGAGUAAAGUGCGACACGUGUGUUGUAUUGCAAGUACCCUGCGAAUAAGCAUCGGCUAACUCCGUGCCAGCCGCCGC